GUGUCAGCAGCCGCGGUAAGACAGAGGGUGCAAACGUUGUUCGGAAUUACUGGGCGUAAAGCGCGUGUAGGCGGUCUCGCAAGUCGGGUGUGAAAGCCCAGGGCUCAACCCUGGAAGUGCAUUCGAUACUGCGAGGCUAGAGUCCCGGAGAGGAUGGUGGAACUCUCGGUGUAGAGGUGAAAUUCGUAGAUAUCGAGAAGAACACCGGUGGCGAAGGCGGCGACCUGGGUCGAGACUGACGCUGAGGCGCGAAAGCGUGGGGAGCAAACAGGAUUAGAAACCCCCGUAGUCC
rnacentral:rRNA from 1 species